UCAGUCUCACCCUGAGCUGUCCCUGUGCCA
rnacentral:piRNA from 1 species